UGGGGAAUUUUGGACAAUGGGCGAAAGCCUGAUCCAGCCAUGCCGCGUGCAGGAUGAAGGCCUUCGGGUUGUAAACUGCUUUUGUACGGAACGAAAAGACUCUGGUUAAUACCUGGGGUCCAUGACGGUACCGUAAGAAUAAGCACCGGCUAACUACGUGCCAGCAGCCGCGGUAAUACGUAGGGUGCAAGCGUUAAUCGGAAUUACUGGGCGUAAAGCGUGCGCAGGCGGUUAUAUAAGACAGAUGUGAAAUCCCCGGGCUCAACCUGGGAACUGCAUUUGUGACUGUAUAGCUAGAGUACGGCAGAGGGGGAUGGAAUUCCGCGUGUAGCAGUGAAAUGCGUAGAUAUGCGGAGGAACACCGAUGGCGAAGGCAAUCCCCUGGCCUGUACUGACGCUCAUGCACGAAAGCGUGGGGAGCAAACAGGAUUAGAUACCCUGGUAGUCCACGCCCUAAACGAUGUCAACUGGGUUGUUGGGUCUUCACUGACUCAGUAACGAAGCUAACGCGUGAAGUUGACCGCCUGGGGAGU
rnacentral:rRNA from 1 species